rnacentral:SRP_RNA from 1 species
GCCGGGUGUGGUGGCUCACGCCUGUAAUCCCAGCACUUUGGGAGGCUGAGGUGGGUGGAUCACCUGAGGUCAGGAGUUCAAGACCAGCCUGGCCAACAUGGUGAAACCCUGUCUCUA